UAAUGCCGGAUGCUCCAGUUGACCGCAUGGUCCUCUGGGAAAGCUUUUGCGGUAUGGGAUGGGGUCGCGUCCUAUCAGCUUGAUGGCGGGGUAACGGCCCACCAUGGCUUCGACGGGUAGCCGGCCUGAGAGGGCGACCGGCCACAUUGGGACUGAGAUACGGCCCAGACUCCUACGGGAGGCAGCAGUGGGGAAUAUUGCACAAUGGGCGCAAGCCUGAUGCAGCGACGCCGCGUGCGGGAUGACGGCCUUCGGGUUGUAAACCGCUUUUGACUGGGAGCAAGCCCUUCGGGGUGAGUGUACCUUUCGAAUAAGCACCGGCUAACUACGUGCCAGCAGCCGCGGUAAUACGUAGGGUGCAAGCGUUAUCCGGAAUUAUUGGGCGUAAAGGGCUCGUAGGCGGUUCGUCGCGUCCGGUGUGAAAGUCCAUCGCUUAACGGUGGAUCCGCGCCGGGUACGGGCGGGCUUGAGUGCGGUAGGGGAGACUGGAAUUCCCGGUGUAACGGUGGAAUGUGUAGAUAUCG
rnacentral:rRNA from 1 species